AGUGAACAGCUACUGAAUUUUUAUGUGUCAUUAAAAAUAACGUAAAGGAAAAUAAUGAUAUUACUUUACUAUUAGUGUCGUCCAAAUACUCGUGCCAGAAGACUCGGUAAGGCGAGAGACGCAAACGUUAUUCGUCUUGAUCAGGCGUAAAGGGUGUGUAGGCUGCUUUAAGUAUUUAUUUAGUGUUUACUGUUAUAAUUCUCACAAUUUCACUUAAUUAGAUCAAUUUAAAUAAAUUUUUCUUCUUUAAGCAAUCGGCAGAAUUAUAAUAUCUCAAUAAACCAAUUAAAGCUAGAAUCUAAAGGAGGAUAAAACAAUACUUAAGGUAGGAGUACUAACCGUAAAUAUUAAGUAGAGUGCUAACGGCGAAGGCAUUUACCCACUAAAGAUUGACGCUGAGAAACGAAAGUGAGGGCAGAAAAAAGGAUUAGAGACCCUUGUAUUCCUCACUGUCAACGAUGAAUGGUAGUUACUAGGUAGAAAUUACCUAGGGGCAAUGUUAACACGAAAACCAUUCCGCCUUGUGAGUACAACUGCAAAGUUGAAAACAAAAAAAUUAGUCGGUUUCGGAGCAAACGAAGUGAAGCAUGUUAUUUAUUG
rnacentral:rRNA from 1 species